rnacentral:rRNA from 1 species
AGAUAUGAUCCAGAGUACCACGGGACACGUGAAACCCUGUGGGAAGCAGGAGGGACCACCCUCCAAGGCUAAAUACUACCUAGUGACCGAUAGCGUAUAGUACCGUGAGGGAAAGGUGAAAAGAACCCCGGGAGGGGAGUGAAAUAGAACCUGAAACCCUGCACUUACAAGCUGUGGAAGCACAUUUCUUGUGUGACCGCGUACUUUUUGUAGAACGGGCCAACGAGUUACGUUAAGUAGCAAGGUUAAGCACUUAAGGUGUGGAGCCGUAGCGAAAGCGAGUUUUAACUGAGCGUUCAGUUACUUGACGUAGACCCGAAACCGGGCGACCUACCCAUGAGCAGGAUGAAGCGAAAGUAAAAUUUCGUGGAGGUCCGAACCCACGAGCGUUGAAAAGCUCGGGGAUGACUUGUGGGUAGCGGUGAAAUUCCAAUCGAGCCCGGAGAUAGCUGGUUCUCCCCGAAAUAGCUUUAGGGCUAGCCUCAAGGUGAGAGAUACGGAGGUAGAGCACUGAAUGUCCUAGGGGGUAUUGCACCUACCGAAGACUAUCAAACUCCGAAUGCCGUCAUCUUAUACUUGGGAGUCAGACUGUGGGUGAUAAGAUUCAUAGUCGAAAGGGCAACAGCCCAGAUCGUCAGCUAAGGUCCCUAAAUGUAAGUUAAGUGGUAAAGGAUGUGGGAUUGCACAGACAACCAGGAUGUUGGCUUAGAAGCAGCCACUCAUUCAAAGAGUGCGUAAUAGCUCACUGGUCGAGUGAUCCUGCGCCGAAGAUUUCCGGGGCUAAAACUUACUACCGAAGCUACGGCAUCAGUAAUGAUGGGUAGGGGAGCUUCCCAUACAGGUUGAAGCAUGACCGUAAGGACAUGUGGACAGUAUGGGAGUGAGAAUGUUGGCAUGAGUAGCGAGAUGUGGGUGAGAAUCCCACAGGCCGUAAACCCAAGGUUUCCAGGGGAAGGUUCGUCCGCCCUGGGUUAGUCGGGACCUAAGCUGAGGCCGAAAGGCGUAGGUGAUGGACAACAGGUUGAUAUUCCUGUACUACCGAUAACCGUUUGAGAGAAGGGAUGACACAGUAGGAUAAGCUAAGCACACUGUUGGUUAUGUGUGCCCAAGCAUUGAGGCAGUCAAAGUAGGCAAAUCCGCUUUGAUAAUGCUGGGAUGUGAUGGGGAGCGAAAUUUAGUAGCGAAGUAGCUGAUUUCACACUGUCAAGAAAAGUCUCUAUCGAGGUUAAAGGUACCCGUACCGCAAACCGACACAGGUGGGUGAGGAGAGUAUCCUAAGGCCAGCGAGAGAACUGUUGUUAAGGAACUCGGCAAAAUGACCCCGUAACUUAGGGAUAAGGGGUGCCACCAUCAGGUGGCCGCAGAGAAUAGGCCCAAGCGACUGUUUACCAAAAACAUAGGUUUCUGCUAAGUCGCAAGACGAUGUAUAGGAGCUGACGCCUGCCCGGUGCUGGAAGGUUAAGGGGAUCUGUUAGAGCAAUCGAAGCAGUGAACUUAAGCCCCAGUAAACGGCGGCCGUAACUAUAACGGUCCUAAGGUAGCGAAAUUCCUUGUCGGGUAAGUUCCGACCCGCACGAAAGGCGUAACGAUUUGGGCACUGUCUCAACAACAGACUCGGUGAAAUUGUAAUUCCGGUGAAGAUGCCGGAUACCUGCGACAGGACGGAAAGACCCCAUGGAGCUUUACUGUAGCUUGACAUUGGGUCUUGGUACUACAUGUACAGGAUAGGUGGGAGGCUUUGAAACCAGGACGCCAGUUUUGGCGGAGCCAUCCUUGGGAUACCACCCUUGUAGUACUGGGACUCUAACCAUAGGCCAUGAAUCUGGUCUUGGGACACUGUCAGGUGGGCAGUUUGACUGGGGCGGUCGCCUCCCAAAAGGUAACGGAGGCGCUCAAAGGUUCUCUCAGUACGGUCGGAAAUCGUACGUAGAGUGUAAAGGCAAAAGAGAGCUUGAUUGCAAGACAUACAGGUCGAGC